rnacentral:rRNA from 1 species
AUUGAACGCUGGCGGCAUGCUUUACACAUGCAAGUCGAACGGUAACAGGGUGCUUGCACCGCUGACGAGUGGCGAACGGGUGAGUAAUGCGUCGGAACGUGCCGAGUAGUGGGGGAUAACGCAGCGAAAGUUGUGCUAAUACCGCAUACGUACUGAGGUAGAAAGUGGGGGACCUUCGGGCCUCACGCUAUUCGAGCGGCCGGCGUCUGAUUAGCUAGUAGGUGCGGUAAAGGCUCACCCAGGCGACGAUCAGUAGCGGGUCUGAGAGGAUGAUCCGCCACAAGGGGACUGAGACACGGCCCAGACUCCUACGGGAGGCAGCAGUGGGGAAUUUUGGACAAUGGGCGAAAGCCUGAUCCAGCCAUGCCGCGUGUCUGAAGAAGGCCUUCGGGUUGUAAAGGACUUUUGUCAGGGAGGAAAUCCCUAGUGCUAAUAACACUGGGGGAUGACAGUACCUGAAGAAUAAGCACCGGCUAACUACGUGCCAGCCGCCGCCGUAA